CCCUUAGAUGUUCUGGGCCGCACGCACGCUACACUGAUGCAUUCAACGAGUCUAAAACCUGGUCUGAUAGGGCUGGGUAAUCUUUUGAAUGUGCAUCGUGAUUGGGAUAGAUGAUUGCAAUUCUUCAUCUUCAACGAGGAAUGCCUAGUAAACGCAAGUCAUCAGCUUGCAUUGAUUACGUCCCUGCCCUUUGUACACACCGCCCGUCGCUCCUACCGAUUGAAUGUUCCGAUGAAUACCAUGGACUGAGAGUAUGAAUGGGUUCGCCUAUUUCUGCUUCUCGGGAAGUGGAGUAAAUCUUAACAUUUAGAGGAAGGAGAAGUCGUAACA
rnacentral:rRNA from 1 species